CUGGAGUUUGGGAUCUGAUGAA
rnacentral:miRNA from 1 species